GAUGAACGCUGGCGGCGUGCCUAAUACAUGCGAGUCGAGCGAACGGACGAGAAGCUUGCUUCUCUGAUGUUAGCGGCGGACGGGUGAGUAACACGUGGAUAACCUACCUAUAAGACUGGGAUAACUUCGGGAAACCGGAGCUAAUACCGGAUGAUAUUUUGAACCGCAUGGUUCAAAAGUGAAAGACGGUCUUGCUGUCACUUAUAGAUGGAUCCGCGCUGCAUUAGCUAGUUGGUAAGGUAACGGCUUACCAAGGCAACGAUGCAUAGCCGACCUGAGAGGGUGAUCGGCCACACUGGAACUGAGACACGGUCCAGACUCCUACGGGAGGCAGCAGUAGGGAAUCUUCCGCAAUGGGCGAAGGCCUGACGGAGCAACGCCGCGUGAGUGAUGAAGGUCUUCGGAUCGUAAAACUCUGUUAUUAGGGAAGAACAUAUGUGUAAGUAACUGUGCACAUCUUGACGGUACCUAAUCAGAAAGCCACGGCUAACUACGUG
rnacentral:rRNA from 1 species